GGCUAGAUAGCAAAAUGGUUAUGCGCAAGAUUGCAAAUCUUGAAAACAUCGGUUCGAAUCCGAUUCUAGCUU
rnacentral:tRNA from 1 species